rnacentral:rRNA from 1 species
CCUACGGGAGGCAGCAGUGAGGAAUAUUGGUCAAUGGCCGAGAGGCUGAACCAGCCAAGUCGCGUGAGGGAAGACGGCCCUACGGGUUGUAAACCUCUUUUGUCGGGGAGCAAAGAGAGUCACGUGUGACUCAUUGAGAGUACCCGCAGAACAAGCAUCGGCUAACUCCGUGCCAGCAGCCGCGGUAAUCCGGGGGAUGCGAGCGGUAUCCGGAUUUAUUGGGUUUAACGGGUGCGCAGGCGGAGGUGCAAGUCAGCGGUCAAAUUGGGGUGCUCAACCCCGUACUGCCGUUGAAACUGGUUGACUUGAGGAUAUUUGAGGUAGGCGGAAUGCGUGGUGUAGCGGUGAAAUGCAUAGAUAUCACGCAGAACUCCGAUUGCGAAGGCAGCUUACUAAACGAUAACUGACACUGAAGCACGAAAGCGUGGGGAUCAAACAGGAUUAGAUACCCCUGUAGUC